CACAAAAGACUCCAGUGUUGGCUUUUGAAAUACACCUGUCCAGUCUGGUGCCUUAUACCAGGUCCAAAUUCUUUCUGGUCACCUCCAUCCUGUAGCAGAUUGCUAUAUGGAAGGUGUUAGCAUCAAAGCUGUACUACGUGCAGAGGGUGAGCAAAGAGAAUGGCGCAGCAUACCUCUGCAGAAUACAGAAAAAAACUCUCCUGAGAUGUGAAACAUCAAUGUAAAAAGAUACAUCCAGUUUAAUUGACCAUGCUUGCUGCAAGCUGCUAAUUAUCACAUUGCCUCCUUUCUAACAAGAGGAAGAGAAAUACCAGGCAUCAGCCAUAAAUAACGUGUGUGACCACUGGAGGUCGCUUUUGGUUUAGAAAUCCUCCACUUUAAAAGCCUUUUGGCGGCAAUGCAACUGCAAAAGCAGAAAGGGGAAUAACUGGGGCUUGCAACUCGCUCUUGAAAAUUCACUGAAAAGAUAUUUAUUUCAUUUUAGGAUAUUCUAGCAAAUUAUCUUCAUAAAACAGCUAUUCUCACUAUUUUUUUUUCAUAUUACAGACUUCUGCAAUGUGGCUAUUUUGGCCUGAAAGACAGUAACAUUAAUAAAUCAAUGAAUUGAAACAACAACUAUGGGAUUAGGUUAGAAUGAAAAAGAACAUAUUUUCUGUCUUUGUGGCUAUGCAGACACAUUACUGGAUCUGCAUUU